CCCUCGCUAGCUCAGUGGUAGAGCUGCUGGCUCUUAACCAGUAGGUCCGGGGUUCGAUUCCCUGGCGGGGGAC
rnacentral:tRNA from 2 species